GGCCUCUUCGAAAAUAUCGGUUAAAAUUGGAACGAUGCAGAAAAGAUUAAUUAGCAUGGUCCAUACACAAGAAUGACAUGCACAAAUGGAGAAAUGGUAUUCAAAUUU